ACAGAUCGUUCAGAGUUUGAUCCUGGCUCAGGACGAACGCUGGCGGCAUGCCUAACACAUGCAAGUCGAGCGAGUGGAGUUCUUCGGAACAAAGCUAGCGGCGGACGGGUGAGUAACACGUGGGCAACCUACCUCAUAGAGGGGAAUAGCCUUCCGAAAGGGAGAUUAAUACCGCAUAAGAUUGUAGCUUCGCAUGAAGUAGCAAUUAAAGGAGCAAUCCGCUAUGAGAUGGGCCCGCGGCGCAUUAGCUAGUUGGUGAGGUAACGGCUCACCAAGGCGACGAUGCGUAGCCGACCUGAGAGGGUGAUCGGCCACAUUGGGACUGAGACACGGCCCAG
rnacentral:rRNA from 1 species